rnacentral:lncRNA from 1 species
CUCGUUCUGGGGGUUUGUGGAUUUUAGGAAAUUUACAGGCCAUGAAUUAUGUCAAAUAGAGGCCUUUGGGCCCUACAAGUGCUGAUGGCGCCCCCAGGGGCACGCCCCUUGGGCUUGUGACUCCCUCAAGAGUCCUCUGGUCUCUCCCUGAAGUUUCUAGGGUCUCUUCUGGCCCAGAAAAAAUCACCGUAAAGUUUCAGCGUGUUUGGACUUCGUUUGGUAUGGUUUUCUAUGAAACAAAGAAAUAGGAAAAAAACAGGAACUGUCACUAGGCACAAAGUUAAUAGGUUCGUCCACAAAAAUAAAUAAAAUGACAUAUAAAGUAUACAAGAUUGAUAAUAUAAUAGCAUGAAACAAAUAAAAAAUUAUAGAUAUUGUUGGAGACGUAUCAAUAACCAUGCCAUAAUAAGAACCAAAAGAACAAGAAAACAAAUACUGCAAGGCUAAGCAAUGCAGCAUCAGUAUAAUUGGGCUCUAUAUAUGAUAUAGGUUCAUAUGGUGUUAUAAGGUGACAUGUGAAAGAAUCAACUCAAAAGAGUCAAUGGACGAUGAAUAGUUGCUAUAUAAGCUUACAUUGGAGAUUAUAUGGAAAAGUGUCAAAAGUAUUUGGAAAAUAACAUAAACAUUGCUUGACGGAUUACACGUGAAGUAAGAAUUCAUUUGUAAAGAGAACUACUUCUGUAAGCCAUUUGACAAAUCAUUCCAUUUGACUUGAGUUGUAGUACUCCUAUUCAAUUACUCCCUCCAUUCACUUUUGUAAGAAGUUUUAGAGACUUAAGACAACAACCAAAACAGUUCAAUUUCAGCUGUCUUAAACGUCUUACAAAAGUGAACAGAUGGAGUAAUUGAAUAGGAGUAAUACAACACAAGUCAUAGUGAAAUGAAGUUUGAAUUCAAAACAGGUCAACAAUUAUUAGAAUAUUGAGUAUACUGGAUAUGAAUAGAAAUUAUAUGACACACGUAUUUAGAUGCAAAAGGAAUCAAUUAAAUAUGGUUUGCAAGAUAUGAUCAAAUGAAGAUUCGUAUUCACAUUUGAAUUGCUCAAAUUUUAAAAGUUUUAAAACGUGAAAUAUUGAUGCUAUGGGAUAGUAGAGGUCAAUAAGAAGAUGUAGGAAAAACAAUAACUUGAUUUGAGCUUAUGAUUUACUCCCUCCGUCCACUUAGUACAAAGUUGACUCACUUUUGAGUCACUUAUUUUGGGACGGAGGGAGUACUAGAUAUAAACAAAACAAAACUGAUAUGAAAUCUGUCAAAAACUCUAGCGUGGCAACUUUUUUAUUCAUACAAAAAUCCUGCCCUGGCAGCGAUUUGGAGUGUUGCGACUAUGACUAAGAAACAGGACAUGUGGCACUUCGUUAAUGGAGCAUACCAGUUCGGGUUUGAGGCUAUUUUGAGCAAUUGGAUUGAGUCAGAUUAGACGGCUGCUGUUUUUUUAGAGUUAGGGUGAGUGUCAAUGGGGAAUUUCUCACUGGAGGUUCGCUAGAGUUGGAGAAGACGGCGCGCAUGGCUCUGAUUUCGAGCGUGUGGUCCCAAGAGAGGCCCUUGGAGCUCGUGGUUGGCACCACGGGACUCAAGUCGAUCAUAUGGUGGUAGUGGAGACGACCUGGGCUUGCUCCCGUGACGGCAGCGACCGGCUGGAGCGGCGGUGGGGGAGAUGAGCCCCGGGUCGAGGGUAAUUCUGUCGUUAUGGUGCUCCACUGCGAGAACUAGGACAUCAGGGGGGUGCGGCACAACGAGUUAGCAAGUUGGGAGUUUGUGGGCUAGCUCGGGAUUUACCUUACGCGACGGAAUCAGCCAGUGAUGACGGCAGUGAGCUUGAGCUCUCAGAGAGAACCGAUUCGAGCGAAACACAGGUCCUGAAGGAGGAAAAUCAGGACAAA